GACCCUAUGCAGCUUCUACUGUUUACCUCUAGAAAACCGAAACGACCUUCUGCAGCUGUACGUUACCAGUAGAAGUAGGUUACACUUCAUUAGUAGCUGACAGCUGAAUGUAAGUCCAAUAAAAGGAUGGGAAUGAUUGCAUCAAGCUACGGAGACAAUGGCUAGCAGAUGGUUUAUGCGGGGCACAGAUCCCAUAAAGAGUAACUGGGAGUAUCCAAAUUUAUUUUUGUAAUAUGCAAUACGCAAAUUAUAUAGGGCUUUUAUUAAAUAAUUCCCUUAUAUAUUUUAAUUUUUUAAUUACUAUAUUUAGUUUGUUAUUUUUAUAUUUACUCUAAUAAAGUAUCUAUAACUAAUUCAGUUAUAUUUCUAUUUAAGUUAGAACUAAAACAAUUUAAUAUAAGUAAGAUUUUACCUAUGUGGAAAAUAGGUGUAUAUAUAGUAUUAAUAAGGAAUAUUUAAUGAAUUAUAACACUAUUAGUUAUUUUUCUUUUUUUAGCCUCGGCGCCAUACCCUGAGGGCUGAGGGCUGAGGCUGCGGAGCCGAAAAAAUGAUGUUGAUAUAUACUUCCAAAGUUUAAUGGCUUAAUCUUGCUUUACUGUUUGACAUACAAGUCUAUCAGUUGCGUAAGCAGGGCAUAAGAUCACAAGAAUGCAUUAAGGAAAGGUCUUGGAUUGAUAAAAGUUACGCUAGGGAUAA
rnacentral:rRNA from 1 species